UUCGCAUCAUUUUUUUCCCCCAAGAGGAUAAAAGUAUUCUUGGACAUAUAUGUGGAAACGGUGUCUAAGCUUUUAGCCUCUGAGUGGACGUUUCCCAUCUUUUGACUGACAACUGAGAACCGGCAUUGCUAGGCGAUGCACUAGCGUCAACUUCUGUGGUGCGCUACUGACUGCAAGAUAUCAUAGCCGUGUAACUUUAAAGUCCUUAAAUAUUGAUACAAGUUCUUUUUUUUUAAGUCUUUGUUUUCCAAUCGAAAAGUGGAAGCUAGCAAGCUAGGCUAAAUAGCGUCUACUCUGAAAGUGGAAACUAGCUGGCUUGCUAACAUUAGCACUGAUUCCCGCAAGAAUGUUAACUUUUCGUUAUCAGUGGGGGUUUUGCGUGUCACCUGCAGCCCCCACACUCUGCGUUCGUCCUGGAUUUAGGCAAAGGAAGACGUCUUGCUCGUGUUAGCUGUCUCUCUUUAGGAUAGUUCCAGAAGUGGAAACGGUAAAAUGCUAAAUGACCAGAGUGUCGAAAACUCCACACCAUUGAGUAGUCUUGUUCACGGCGCUUCAUACGUUAUGGCGAGAUUGUAAUAACGACCAAGAGUGACUAAUGUACAGAGUUACGUAGGGACUAGGGAGUGUUCAAAUCACAGAUGGAACUGAGCCAGUGGUUACCAAACUUUAAAACAUCCCCUAUUCAUUUUCAUGAAAAAAUGUACAGUUUACAAAGUGAAAAUAAAUGUGGCGGCACUCUUACGGUACCUCAGCGUGUCUCUGUCCCCACUGUGGGAACCACUGAACAAAGAAACGGCUAACAAAGUCCACCCCUGGCUGUUUAACUGCCUGUUAUUGUUGGAAUUGAAGCAAUGAUGAGAAAUAUAUUAAGGGCCAGCUCGCACAGAUAUUGUAUAAAACCGAUUACAAGUACCGACAUCAACAGUUGGUACCAAAAAUUCACUAAUGUAGGGGGCGCCAUUGUUGAAGAAAAAUAAAAAACUCAAUUACUCAUUUUUAGUAAUUAAAAGUCUGAACUAAUUCGUACUCAAGGCAAACACCUAGGAUGUAUGAAGUGAUUUAUUUGUGAAUUUUUUUUUUUAUUUCAGUUUGCUUUAAUGUUGGGUUAACAGAAAUGAAAUGUGUUGCUUGUUUUGUUUUACCUUCAGUCAACCUCGACUCUGUGUUGCUCCCUGGAAGGUAUUUGCUGUCUAACGUUAGUGUUUUCUAAAGCUGCUGUUGAAAUAGCAUUCAGGUAUGAAAGACCCUUAAUUUGCUCCUUUCCAAUCUACCCAUCAUCCCUCAGAGGCGAGCAUCCUCUUCCUCAUCCUCUUUUUGUCUCAAGUUUUUCUCGGGGCCCCUCGCGUUUCAGUGUGCUCAAAGCACUGACGGGGAAAACAAGAAAAACCAUAAAAAAAAAAAAAAUUCAGUAUUGUCAACAACACUGUGGCUACCACAUUUACAAAAUAAAGAACCAAAUAUUUUAGGAAGAUGACAUUGCAGCUGUGUGUUUGAAGCCUGUGUGUUUGUGCUCGCCACUUGAAGAGAAACAGGACUGCCGAGGCUUUCGCUAGACACGACAUCCAUCUUUUCCUCUAGUUUUUCCCAGGUGGGACCGAGCUUUUCUGUACAUUUUUUUUUUUUUUUGGUUUGUUUCUUUGUUGAUUACUUUUCCGAUCGCAAGCAGUCACGGCAUCCUUUUAGAAAACUUAGACAAAGUGUCUGUUGUCUCUUUCUGAGUAAGGUCUGAAACCUAUGCAUGCCAUAGUAAAGUGGUGGUAAGAUCAAGUUAGAUGUCUCUCUUAUUUUAUUCUUUUUGUUCCUCCUUCUUUUAGCCAGUUCACGGUGUAUAAGGAAGAUGUCAACCAGUAAGUUGUCGACUGCUGACUGUGUGUCCAUUUGGAGAAAAGAAAACAAAAAAAAGUGCAAUUUGUGUGAGGGUGAAAAGAUUUAUAUUAAAAGUGACAAAUGAUGAA